rnacentral:rRNA from 1 species
GACGUAGGGGGCCAGCGUUGUUCGGAAUUACUGGGUGUAAAGGGUUCGUAGGCGGUGUGGCAAGUCGGGAGUGAAAUCUCUGGGCUCAACCCAGAGACUGCUUCCGAAACUGCUGUGCUUGAGUGUGAGAGAGGCUCGUGGAAUUGCAGGUGUAGCGGUGAAAUGCGUAGAUAUCAGGAGGAACACCGGUGGCGAAGGCGGCUCACUGGCCCGGUACUGACGCUGAGGCACGAAAGCGUGGGGAGCAAACAGG